AUUGUCAGCUGGAUUGUCGUUCUGCAAUUCCAUUUGUGUUGUGAAACCACAUUGAGCGCAUCCAUGGGUGCCGAUGGAUGCCGGCCUCCGCAUUCUUCAACUGGAGUUGGGAGGGAGUUCAAGUGCGAAGUCCUCUGAAGCUUGCAUGUUCAUGCUUCGUCAAACAUUGAAACCGGCACUCACAAGGUAUAUCACGUUGAUUCAGAAGAAUCAUCUACUCAACAUGGUUGGGGUGUGACGAUUAUCUGGACGCACUUGCACACACACUGGCCUUGCGCUUAAGAUUACCGCUGAAAGAAGUAUGCGGUUUGGAGGUGAACCAAGGAACAGAAGCGAUUGUUGGCAGCUCUGCUACCGUUAAGGCCCGGUUGCAUAGUCUUCGGGAAGACAGACCCGGGGUUUGAGGGUUCAGCGCAUUGGCUUGGGACUCUCGCCCUCAGCUGCAACGUUGCGCACAUGACGCCAAUUGUGCGCACAAGUAUACAAAAGGUUAAUCUGCAAGCUUCCUCGAUCCAACUUAAGUUCCAAAAGGUCAUUCUAAAUGGCAGAACCUGUCUGGCCAUUUCGCUGGGGUUAAGUAUCGUAAUCACAACAUAUGCGAUGAGCUGAGUCAAGAUGGGAGCCAAUUCUAUGAAGUGAUGCUACUUUUGAUGGUUAAGCUGGUGCACUUCAGCAUGUGAAUAUAGUCAAUUCUUUAAAUGUAUGCCUCAUCGGAAGGAUAUUCCAAUGGGUGAAACGAUGACAAUCUCUGCAAGCAUUCUUAUGUUGGUUCGCUUACAGUGGGGCAUUGACAUGUUGAUCUCUCACCAUAUCUGGCGUCGUCACAAACUUCUAAACUUCUGAUUCUGGAAUCGAAGAUAAGCGCCGCCGCAUUGGGUUCACCACAUUAACCAGCGCCAUACAUGCUAUGUCUUAAAGUCAGAGAACUAGAACUUGACCUCAAGCUUAGAAUGGGCAGGGGUUUCUACAGUUAGUAAACUACAGUAGCACUUUGUCUACUCAGAGAAACAUGUCAUUUGAUAGGUUGAAUAAAGUAGUACUGUAGAAUGUCGUUUGCACUGGCUUUUUGCACUUUUCUAGUCGUCGGAUGUGUACUAAUGCAAAGGAUCAUUCCAUUGACGGUUUGUUCCCCAGCAUUUAAAGCUACGUUACAUGAUUUUUAUAGAACCUGGGUUGCUCCAGAAAGAAUUCAGGUCUCUGUCGAACCGCUCUCAGUGAGCUUGAAGUUAGGGCUCCUAGCCGUGUACAUGCUGAGUGACUACUGAAUUAGCCCACUGACACAUUCGGCGAUGGCUUACACUAGGGUAACGAAAUGGUAGGUGGGCGUUGCGAUGGAGGCUGGGAUUUCUUUGGAGGUUGAAGAACUCGAAACCGAAAGUGUGUUGAUGUCUCAGUGAAAUUGCUAGUCGGGAGACAUAACGAGUCUGAAGUUAGCUAGGAGAAUACAGCCGCUUCUACCUGAUCCUCCUCAAGAUACGAUACUUUUUAAAUCAAAGAUAAUAUCGAGAUCGUAAGUUGGUAAUUGAAAUCAAACCUGAUACACAUGCUGAAAGUAAGGGAUUCAACUUCAUAUGACCAGUCAGUGUUUGCGUGAGGGUUUCCAUUCCAGUUAUGCAAAGGUUGAACUUUUCGCCUAGAUGGACAGAAACACUGCUAGUAUUCCCCUACCACUUAGACUGCGUACAGUCUAAGUGAGUAUGGAUUUUAGCAUCUAAACUCUGUUUAUAUUUAUUUGUGAAACAACAUUGCGGUUUCGUCAUUUGCAAUGCCUUGGGAAGAUUCACCGAAGUGUGCAUCUAUCAGGUCGAGGUAGUGUCACUUUGUCACUAGAGAGCUUGCUAUGCACAUUCAAUUACCACUGAACGUAUUUCUCCUUGAAAAUAUUGAAGAGUUGAACAGACCUUGUAAUCAGAAUUUAGACGGAAUCUAUGAGUUCAAUAAGUUACUCCUGAACGCAUGUGGUAAGGUUUACUUCCUGUUCCGACGUUUCUACCUCGAAGAACAUUAAGAAAAUGUCUAGUUACUUUCACCUGGCUGCUAGUGCAACGCGGUUGUGACUGAUACUAUUUCCAGAUAAUUGACAGGCGCGCGUUCGGUUGCAGCCUUCUUCAGACUCUACACUUCUUGAAAGAACCACAACACAGUUUGAAAAGCAUAUUGUCGCAGGCGUGAACUUCGAUGUUAGUAUCCUCCUCAGCUGUUACGACAGUUCUUUACUGUAAAGGAUACAGGUGAAAGUAUCCCUCGAGGACACCUUCGAAACGAGAUGAAGUUACUUGCAGAGACGUCAUCAUAUACCUUAAUGAAGUUAGAUUUAUGUAAAAGAUGUUCCAAGAUCAAGGCAACAGCUGUCCAACAUGUACACUAAAUGGGAAAACGCAAGGGAAUUUUGAAGAGCAGCUGGGAGGUAAUAUCUAUACCCUGGUCAGUCUGUCGGAAGAAGAUAAUUUAUCCUCUGAGAUGAGGUGCGGCCUUGAGAUGUAAUUCUCAGCAGUUUGUUCAGAGUCUGCAUAGCUGGUGCUAUCUAAUUGUCAGAUACUUGUACAAACCAACAUACCAAGUGCAGCUUUGUCUUGGCUGUUACGCGGAGAGGAAGAAGCUAAUCCUGCAUUUAAUAUUUUGUUGAUGUUCAGAACAUCAAGUGUAGAUGGUAAUGCAGCUGGUUUCCUUCCCAUUUGAUGUGUUCACCAGUUCCCUAAUUGCCGCACUGGAGAUGAAGUCUUUAGUUGAUUAGUUAAAACGUUCAAUUGUUUACUGUUUGGCUGCUAGACCUGAUGACAUGUGUUCUUGGAUUCGAUGUUUGAAAAUAAGGUUUAACAAAUGCCUGGAGUGCUAGGAAGUGAACAUUCCUCAUGAGAACAUCUGCAGUUUAAUAUAAAGACAUUUUUAGCUUGCAUAUUGCAGUGGCUGGGUGCAAUCUCAUAGCAGAUAAAUAUUAUCAUUGUAUGUCCUGUUAUACACUUGCUAUUGUAACAUUUGUUAGAACAUAUCUCUGUGAAUAUAAUUUUACCCAAUAAUUGAGUAGACGUCGGUUGUCUGUGGACUUUUUUCUUAUUUUCUUAUUUAUUUAUUUAUUUAUUAUAUUUCAAUGCAUUUACCUUCGUGUUGCGACAGAUUUGAAUAAGAGCUAUCUACCAACAUGAAUUAGUCUUCAAAACCCCUUAGAAACAUGCCUGAAAGUGGCACUGAGAGUUUUUAAGUAGGUACGUUUUUCAGUUCUGAUACACAUGAGCUAUCUCGAAGUUUUAUUAUCAUGUACGUUUAGACGAGCAGGGAAGGGACUUGAUCGUUCUGAUUUCCUAAUGCAGCGACCUGCAAGUGAAAUUUUAUUUUACCAGCUCACAAUGUAAUGAUGAUGUUGCUGUAUACACGUAGAUAGGAGAAAGUUUGCACAGGAUAGAGAUUUCCCCCGAUGGUUUGUAAAUGCGCAGUUUGCAGACAAGCCGAGUUGGGGUGACAGAAGGCUAAUGAUGGGACCUUUUUAACUGUUGACUAACUGGCAGAUUCAUACCUUAGUAAGUGCACAUUUAUAUUAGACAGUACAUGAACUCUCUUUUGUUAGAGCUGGUAAGAGCGACAAGUGCUUAUAUGACGCAAGUCCAUCAGCUGUUGUGCGGGCGAGCUGACUGAGCGCGAGCAGUGUAGUUUCGUGACUGUUCACGGUGCAAUUUGAGAUUUACACCAUGUGAAGAACGUUGACAAACCGGUGGAAGUGACACAGAGUUGUUUAUUACUAGUACAAGUUAUGAAAUAAAUUGCUAUGUUGAUUAUGGGCAUUCUGGUAAGUAUGAUUAGUGUGCGAGGAAGUGGAGGUGUGUAUUUUGUCACCUCUGAAAAGUAUAUGAGUCAAGGUGGUCAACGAUUGAGUUGGAAUAGGAUUGUAUUUUGGAGUAGCUAUCCAGACAGUUUUACACUACUAACGUAAUGACGUCUCUGUUCACAUUUGAAUAUCGUGGUCAGAGGGAUAGGUGUAUCAGUUUAUUAUGAUAAUUAAGUGGUAGAUGUUACUUCA